AUUGAACGCUGGCGGCAGGCCUAACACAUGCAAGUCGAACGGUAACAGAAAGCAGCUUGCUGCUUUGCUGACGAGUGGCGGACGGGUGAGUAAUGUCUGGGAAACUGCCCGAUGGAGGGGGAUAACUACUGGAAACGGUAGCUAAUACCGCAUAACGUCGCAAGACCAAAGAGGGGGACCUUCGGGCCUCUUGCCAUCGGAUGUGCCCAGAUGGGAUUAGCUAGUAGGUGGGGUAACGGCUCACCUAGGCGACGAUCCCUAGCUGGUCUGAGAGGAUGACCAGCCACACUGGAACUGAGACACGGUCCAGACUCCUACGGGAGGCAGCAGUGGGGAAUAUUGCACAAUGGGCGCAAGCCUGAUGCAGCCAUGCCGCGUGUAUGAAGAAGGCCUUCGGGUUGUAAAGUACUUUCAGCGGGGAGGAAGGGAGUAAAGUUAAUACCUUUGCUCAUUGACGUACC
rnacentral:rRNA from 1 species